AAUUAAUUAGUAACUAUAUGAAAUCAAAUAAAGUACAUUUUCUUAUUACAAUAGAUGUAUAGCGACGACUGAGAAAAAGGCUGGUCGUCUACGUAAGGGUUGUCACAAUCGGCAACUGGAUUUUCAAUUGGAUAGCCCUUCUUAAAACUCAUGACGUCUUCCUGUUGGUCUGCAAAGAUAUCCAAACCUCCAAACGCAGUCUAGUUUGGUGUGUACCUGUUGUUUGUAGUUGUGAGGUGUCUUCCCCGUUUUUUUUUGUUUUUUUUCUUUCCUUACAACUAUAUUGUGUUGAUGUUUUGUGUCCCAGCACAGUUCUAAAUUUGGUAGCAUCACCAGAAAAUAUUGAAAAUUUUUUCCAUUAAGUUUUUUCUUGUUUGUUCAAAAAUAAUUUCUUCUGAGCCAGCAUCAAAAUCAAUAGAGGUCCUUUUUUUCUCUAAAUUAGAAUGAUGAUUAUGAAUAUGUUACCACAACUGCAAAGCAAAUAAAAAAAACUAUUAUGAACGUUUAUCCUGAAACCCAUUAAAUGUUCUCUUCAUUGGCAUAGCUUCACCCCCUCCCUCAAUAUCAAUACCACCACCCGUUCUACAACUUAAACACCAUCUUCCAAAGAAAUAUCCAAUAAAUCCAAUUAAAACUGAAAAAAAAAAUCAAUUGUUUUCAAUUUCUUUCAUUUCUAUAUCCUGUAUACCUAUCAUUUGUUUUUAAUAAAGUGUACGAGCC
rnacentral:lncRNA from 1 species